rnacentral:rRNA from 1 species
UACGUAGGUGGCGAGCGUUGUCCGGAUUUAUUGGGCGUAAAGAGCGUGUAGGCGGCCAGACAGGUCCGUUGUGAAAACUGGAGGCUCAACCUCCAGACGUCGAUGGAAACCGUCUGGCUAGAGUCCGGAAGAGGAGAGUGGAAUUCCUGGUGUAGCGGUGAAAUGCGCAGAUAUCAGGAAGAACACCCGUGGCGAAAGCGGCUCUCUGGGACGGUACUGACGCUGAGACGCGAAAGCGUGGGGAGCGAACAGG